rnacentral:rRNA from 1 species
CUACAGGGGUUUCUAAUCCGGUUCGCUCCCCACACUUUCGCGCCUCAGCGUCACCUUCUGUCCAGAAACCUGCCUUCGCCAUUGGUGUUCCUCCUGGUAUCUACGCAUUCCACCGCUACACCAGGAAUUCCGGUUUCCUCUCCAGAGGUCAAGAUAUACAGUAUCCAGUCCAUCCCUGCGGUUGAGCCGCAGUCUUUAAAACCAGACUUACACAUCCGCCUACACGCCCUUUACGCCCAGUGAUUCCGGGUAACGCUUGCACCCUCCGUAUUACCGCGGCGGCUGGCAC